rnacentral:lncRNA from 1 species
GACUUGGGAAGGGCUGUGCUGAAACCUGUGGAAAGUUUUUUGAAUGAACAAAGAGAGCAUGUCAUCUUUUUCUUUUCUAUAACAUAGACCUGAAAAUUGUGGGGAGCAGUGGCUUUUGAAAAACAUAAAGCCUUAUCGAACUUCCAUUUCCUCCUCCAAAACCUGAUGCUGAAUGACACUUACAGGCCAACUCCCAAAAGGAAAUGGGCAUGAAGUUGAACACCAUUUGAUGUCAGGGUGAAAAGAAAGUUUCACAUCAUCAUGAAAACAUACCCAACUUGCUGUAAUUAUUGAUUGAUUUUCCAACCCAGGGCCUCACAUUCCUAAGCAUGUGCUCUACCAUUGAGCUACACGCCAAGCCUGGAGCAUACUUUAAACUUUGUUUCACUCAUGGAUUUAGUAUGAAGACAGCUAUAAUAGAGUAUUCCAGAGUUCAGAGAUCCAAAGGUGAAGAGAAGAUGCAAUGAUCCUCAACACACAGCUGUCUUCCUGAGGUCCGCAUAGAAAGUUCCAUCGCUGUCAUCUCCCAGGCUGACAGCAAGCGGCUGGGCAUGCACACACAUUCUCUUUGAGUGAGAAGGCUCAAGUUAGCAUAUGUAUCACUUCUGUGGUCAUCCUAUUACUUAGAAUCUGGGCACAUAGCCAUACUAAUGCUGUACAUAGACUGUAGGUGAAAGGGUUGUUGGCUAGCUUAAGUCAGGCCUAUUAUCAAAAAAAGGAGAGAGUGGAUAUAGAUAGAUAAGUAAUAGUCUUUGUUACAGAAAUGGCACUACCAGUGUCAUCUAUCUACCUACCUGUCUUGACCAAUCAAGAUAAAUAGAUAUGAACAUAAACCUUUCUUUUACUAAAAAGAAAAGGUAUAGAUAUAAAUAUGCUCAGAUAAAAUUGAUAUUCCGAUACCAGUACCUCUAAAUCUUGUACUCAAACCACUGAAUAUCCAUAAGCACUCUUUUUAUAAUCUAUUUUGAGAUUAUUUCUUACCUUUGAGCUGUUUUUUGUGAAACUGAUUUGAAUAGACAUAGCCCAAACUAGAAAGUAUCCAUAACAUUAGGCUAGUUAUUUGGGUCCACAGAUAUGCAAGGGGAAAUAUAUAGAUUCUAGUCUAUUCAGUAAAAACAAAGAAAUUUGAGAAGCCAAAAUGUGGAAAAAAUGUAAAUAUUAAAGUUUCC